CACGUAGGGUGCGAGCGUUGUCCGGAAUUAUUGGGCGUAAAGAGCUCGUAGGCGGUGUGUCGCGUCGGCCGUGAAAACCUGCAGCUUAACUGUGGGCUUGCGGUCGAUACGGGCAUCACUGGAGUUCGGCAGGGGAGACUGGAAUUCCUGGUGUAGCGGUGAAAUGCGUAGAUAUCAAGAGGAACACCUGGAGGUGAAGACGGGUUGCUGGGCUGACACUGACGCUGGACAGCGCGAAAGCUAGGGGAGCAAACGGG
rnacentral:rRNA from 1 species